UGUUGAGGUAUAAUUAGUUUCCCAAUGGAGUUAGUAUUUGUUUAUUGUUAGGGCCAAGGUUACUGUUAAAGUCAUGAUUCCAUUAAAGUACUGUUUAGGGUUAGUGUUAUGGUUGAGGCUGGUAAUAAAAAUAGCAAAAAAUCUGGGUUUCCAUCAUGGUUAGGCUAGGAUGAGGUUUAGGGUAGGUGUUGGUGCUAUGAUUCAGUUGAGAAAAGGACUAGGGCUAGUGCUAGGAUUAGUGUUAAAGUUAAGGCUUGGUUUAGGCUUAGCAUUCAGUUUUAGGUUAGAGUUAGUGUUACAGUUAGGGUUAGGAGAGGACAGAUAUCCUUGGUAGGAUAGAUAGGGUUAGGACAGUAUGGGUAGGAUAGGGAUAUAGUUAGUGACAGGGUUAGUGUUAAGGUCAGGGUUGGGUUUAGGAGUCCACUAGGGUUGGUAUUAUUUUUAGGUUUAAGUUUAGAGUUAGGGUUAAGGUAUAUUUUUUGUUUAGGGUCAGGUUUUUCGUUCACCAGGGUUAAAACUAGUGUCAAUUUAGUGAUAGCCUUAGGUCCAGAACUAUGGCUAGGUUCAGAGUCACAGUUAGCUCUUGGGCUAUGGUUUCAUUAGGUUUAGCUUUAGGAAUAGUGUUAGAGUUACUGCUAAAGGCAGGGCUAGGCUUCCACUGACAUUAGAUUUAGGGUUAGGAUUAAGGCUAGCUUGUGUUUUCCACCAUGAUUAGAAUAGGAUUUGGCUUGGUGAUCGGGCUAGGAUUAGUUUACUUCUAGGAUUAGGUUUAGGUUUUGGAUUAGGUUUAUAGAAUUUCUUGAGGGAUAUUGUUAGAUUUAGACCUAGGGUUCAGCAGAAGCACAGGGUUAGUGUUCCAGCAUGGUUAGAGUUAAGUUUAAAGUUUAAGGCUAAGGUUAGGGUUAAAUUUUGGGCUCGGGCUAUGCAAGGGCUAGGGCUAGGGUUCCAUCUGGGUUUGUAUAAGGGCUAGGGUUAGGUUAUGUUUAGAAUUAGUGUUAAUGUUCCUCCAGGUUUUGGUUAGGAUCAGGGUGAAUGUGAGUGUUAUGGCUAGGUCUAUGCCUAGGCCAAUGUCUAGUGAUAAGGCUCCUGUUAGGGGUAGAACCAGCUUUAGUGUUUCAUUUUAGGUUAUGUUUCUGCCAGGGGUAGGCUUAGAUUUAGGCUUAAGCUUAGAUUUAUGUUGAAGGUUAUGGUUAGGGCUUGGGUAGGGCCUUUCUUCAAAUAGGGUUAGCUGAAGUCUAUGGUUAGGGUUAGAGUUACCAUUAGAUCUUCAGUAAGGUUAGAGUUGUUAAAGUAAGUUUGGGGUGAGAUUUAGGGAUAGUGCUAGUGCUAGGGCUAGCGCCAGUGUUACAAGGUUAGUGUUUUUGGUUAUGGUAGGUUUAAGAUUAGAGCUAGGUCCAGGUCUGGGGCUGGGGUUCAGGGUUACGAUGGGGAUUUGGAUAUGGUAGGGCUAGGUUUACACUAUGGUUAGGGUUAGAUUUAUGUUUAGAGUUAGGGAUCCACCAUAGGUAAGUCAGAUUUAUUUAUGUUAGGGUUAGGGGUAGUGAUAUGGCUACACUUAGAAUUAAUGCUAGGGCUCGGGCUAUGGUUAGAGUCCCACUAGUUUUAGGGGUAUAUUUAGGGUUAGGCUUUGGGCUAAGGUUAGGAAUAGGGCAAAGGGCAUGACUAGGGUGAAAUUUAGAACUAGGUCUAGGUUCCAUGAUUAGGGUUAAGUUUACAUUUAGGGUUAUUUGUAGGUUUGGGGUAGGGUUAGGCUUCGGUUCCCACAACAGGUUCAAGUUAGGGUUAGGGUUAAUGUUGAGGUGAGGUCCCAGCCCAAGACUGACCUUACCGACCUGCUGCCACUGCUACUGCCAGUGUCCUGUGCACAUUAGGCCAGGGAAGACCCAGUGUGGGAUGACAAGCCUGAUUAUCUUGUCCCAGCCACUACCACCACCAGCACCAGAGGCCUGCAUGUGCCCUGCCAGGGAGGACCAGCUCAGAGCAACUGACCUGAUCACCCCACCCUCAGCCAAUGUUGCCGGGGCCUGCUCCUGGAGUCUCCUCAGCACAGGGCAGCAUAAAUGACAGUCAGCAGACUCACCUGACUGAAGAAGAGACCAAGACCCAGAGGGAGAAUUUUGCUUCAGUACUGAAUGGUUACUGUGCCACAGACACAGAUUUCCUGGGGACCAGAAAAAGUUAAAAAAAAACUGGAUAUACCCUCACAGGAACAUACGAAGACAAGACAACAGAAGAUCCUGAAAGUGUUCUAAGUCUCCUAAGGCAAAUGAAAGGGACACAAUUGGAGAGGAAGCAAGUGCCAGGUAGCAGAACCCUACGCAAUGUUUGUAGAAAAGAUGAAGAGAAUAGAUGAACUCCAAGAGGAAAUGAACCAAAAGUUCACUGACUAUCACUCAAACUGUUCAAAGUGGAUAAGCGAGACAUAGGUAAAAAAUUGGAAGAGUUGACCAAAUUAGUUCAAAUCAUGAAUGACAAAUUCACCAAAGAUUUAGCAUCCUCAAAUGAUGUCAGACAGAUAAAUCUGAAAUAAAACCUGUAUAGAA